AGAGUUUGAUCCUGGCUCAGAACGAACGCUGGCGGCGUGCUUAACACAUGCAAGUCGAACGCGAAAAUUUUCUUCGGAAAAUGAGUAGAGUGGCGCACGGGUGAGUAACGCGUAAGUAAUCUACCCUGGUAUAUGGGAUGACCCACCGAAAGGUGAGCUAAUACCGUAUACGCUGAUUUAUCAGGAAAGGUGGCCUCUUCAUGAAAGCUACUGUACUAGGAGGAGCUUGCGUACCAUUAGCUAGUUGGUAGGGUAAUGGCCUACCAAGGCAACGAUGGUUAGCGGGUCUGAGAGGAUGAUCCGCCACACUGGAACUGGAACACGGACCAGACUCCUACGGGAGGCAGCAGUGAGGAAUAUUGCGCAAUGGGGGCAACCCUGACGCAGCGAUGCCGCGUGGAUGAUGAAGGCUUUCGGGUCGUAAAAUCCUGUCAGAUGGAAAGAAAUGCAUAUAGGUUAAUACCCUUUAUGUUUGACGGUACCAUCAAAGGAAGCACCGGCUAACUCCGUGCCAGCAGCCGCGGUAAU
rnacentral:rRNA from 1 species